CAUCCAUCAGACAAUCGUUUGUCUGCUCAGGGCUGCCGUCCUGCGUGUCGCAGGGCAGAGCUUUAUGAUUUGUCGUGCGGAUUUCAUGGACUCGACUCUUGGGAGCGAUCCUGGGUUGUUGCCCGUGGCCGUGUGUACACCGUGCAGGACUCUUAGGUUGUCCGCGAAGCACUGACCCCUUCCAUCUCUC
rnacentral:misc_RNA from 1 species